UACAGAAGCCCCGAGCGUUACCCGGAUUCACUGGGCGUAAAGGGUGCGUAGGCGGUUAUGUUAGUCGGGUGUUAAAUCUUUGGGCUCAACCCAAAGCUCGCAUUCGAAACGGCAUAACUUAGGAGAAGUGAGAGGUGUGCGGAACUCACGGUGUAGGGGUGAAAUCCGUUGAUAUCGUGGGGAACACCAAAAGCGAAGGCAGCACACUGGCACUUUCUCGACGCUGAGGCACGAAAGCGUGGGUAGCGAAUGGG
rnacentral:misc_RNA from 1 species